UAAGCGGAGGAAAAGAAACUAACAAGGAUUCCCCUAGUAACGGCGAGUGAACCGGGAAGAGCUCAAAUUUGAAAUCUGGCAGUCUUCGAUUGUCCGAGUUGUAAUCUAUAGAAGCGUUUUCCGUGCUGAACUGUGUAUAAGUCCCUUGGAACAGGGUAUCAAAGAGGGUGACAAUCCCGUACUUUACACAAUCAUCAGUGCUCUGUGAUACGUUCUCUACGAGUCGAGUUGUUUGGGAAUGCAGCUCAAAAUGGGUGGUAAAUUCCAUCUAAAGCUAAAUAUUGGCGAGAGACCGAUAGCGAACAAGUACCGUGAGGGAAAGAUGAAAAGCACUUUGGAAAGAGAGUUAAACAGUACGUGAAAUUGUUGAAAGGGAAACGAUUGAAGUCAGUCGUGUUCAUUGGACUCAGCCGGUUUUCGGUGUAUUUCCUUUGAACGGGUCAACAUCAGUUUUGUCCGGUGGAUAAAGUCAGUAGGAAGGUGGCUCCCUCGGGAGUGUUAUAGCCUAUUGUCGUAUACACUGGAGGAGACUGAGGACUGCAGCUUGCCUUUAUGGCCGGGGUUCGCCCACGUUCAAGCUUAGGAUGUUGACAUAAUGGCUUUAAACGACCCGUCUUGAAACACG
rnacentral:rRNA from 1 species